UACAGAGGUCCCAAGCGUUGUUCGGAUUCACUGGGCGUAAAGGGUGCGUAGGUGGCCAGGUAAGUUUGAUGUGAAAUCUCCGGGCUUAACCCGGAAAGUGCAUUGAAUACUAUCUGGCUAGAGGAUUGGAGGGGAGACUGGAAUUCUCGGUGUAGCAGUGAAAUGCGUAGAUAUCGAGGGGAACACCAGUGGCGAAGGCGAGUCUCUGGACAAUUCCUGACACUGAGGCACGAAAGCUAGGGGAGCAAACAGG
rnacentral:rRNA from 1 species